GACGAACGCUGGCGGCGUGCUUAACACAUGCAAGUCGAACGGAAAGGCCCUGCUUUUGUGUGGUGCUCGAGUGGCGAACGGGUGCGUAACACGUGAGUAACCUGCCCUUGACUUUGGGAUAACUUCCGGAAACUGGGGCUAAUACCGGAUAGGAGCUCCUGCUGCAUGGUGGGGGUUGUAAAGUUUCGGCGGUUGGGGAUGGACUCGCGGCUUAUCAGCUUGUUGGUGGGGUAGUGGCUUACCAAGGCUUUGACGGGUAGCCGGCCUGAGAGGGUGACCGGCCACAUGGGGAAUGAGAUACGGCCCAGAAUCCUACGGGAGGAAGCAGUGGGGAAUAUUGCACAAUGGGCGGAAGCCUGAUGCAGCAACGAAGCGUGCGGGGUGACGGACUUCGGGUUGUAAACCGCUUUCGCCUGUGACGAAGCGUGAGUGACGGUAAUGGGUAAAGAAGCACCGGCUAACUACGUG
rnacentral:rRNA from 1 species